UCAGGGGGUUUGAUCUAGAGCUCCCGCCUCCUUUACAGUGGCUUUGCUACUCCCUAUUAGUUAUUGAUACUAUUCCCACCCUUCUGCCCACCCAAUGCUCUAUUCACUGUGUGUGUGUGUGUGUGUGUGUGUGUGUGUGUGUGUGUGUGUGUGUGGUACAGAUGUGAGCCUACAUGAAGAACAAAUUAAGCAUGGAGAUAACAUUGGGGUGACAGCCUUAGUCAUGUCUAUUGGCAUCAGAAGCUGUUUACAAUCUCUGAAUCCAGCGAUGACAUCACCCCUAGGCAACAAGGACUCUCUUGCAUCUGUUGCCAUGGCAACCGCCACACACCUGUGUGCCUCGCCUAUGCAUGGUGGAAGAACCUCCAGCUAAAAGAGAGUGGAUGCAGCUACAUCCUCCAGCUCCUCCAGCGACCUUUCUACCAGGCCCUACUUUCUGUGAUUCUUGACCACUCCAGAUAUCUAUUAAACAAUUUAAGAUGGCA